GUCAUUUUCUGAGGCCCCGCUUUACGAAAUCAGGUCUACAAUAAUGCGAACAUCCAACUACAAAGAAAAGCUGUCCGGCAGUUCGCACUACCGUUCCUUUUUAUGCUUGGAAUAUUAGAAAUAUAAUUAAAUGUUCACGAGGAAAAGAGGUCGAAAAUAUUUCAAUAAAAAAUAUAAAAGGGAGCCAUCAAAACGUUAAAUUCAUCACAACAACACUUUAUGAAAAUUCAAUUGUGUGCCAGUGAACAAGUUCGUAAAGUUGGAAACUGUCAAUAUGAUUGAAAAUGAUAAUACCAUUGUAUCGGGACGCGGAUACAGUCAAGUUGUGCUAAAUUGGAACUACGUUUUAACGAAUAAUUGACUCGUCGGAUAAACUCGGUUAUGGCUGAAAGAGAAAACUUUUAUUGUUUAUAUUGUACAAACUUAAAUCCCUUGAUCGAUACCGGGACUCUCUAAUGGAAUUAAUUCUUACUUUUAUAUUUUCACAAAAAU